AACAGUGAAUUAAAGAGAAUUAAAAAGUGCAAAGUUUUUGUGUGAAUUUAAAUUAAAAAUAGAAUAGUAAAAUUUGAAAGAAAAGUCGAAUUCAUUUGAAUUCUAGCAAUAAUGGGGGACGCAGAGGCGAUGCGACCACCCAUAAGUGGACCACGGCCACCGUUCCCCGGCGGUGGCAUGCCGCCACGUCCGAUGGCUGCGCCACCACGCGCUCCCAUGAAUAUGCCUGGAGCACCCGGUGGACCGCCGCCCAGAGCAAUGCCACCACCAUUGCGUAAUACAGACAGCAGAGGAAAUCUGUUGAUGGGCCCUGGACCGGGUGGCCAACGUCUACCACCACCACCAUUACAAAAUAUACAAAUGCGUCCGCCGAGCGGUAAUGGCGGGCCGAUGAGUCCACCUGGACAAGGUCAACCACGACCGCCCGGCGCAUAUCCAUGGUCCGGCGGAGCACCAGGACAACAAAUGCCUACCGGUCGUCCACCAAAUCCCUAUCCGGGCAAUCCACCCACACGCCCGCCAUUUGCACGUCCACCUGGCGCACAACAACCACCGCCACGUCCGCCUUACCAACAACACGCACAGCCGCAGUCACAGCCGUCGCAGCAACCGCAACAACAGCAACAGCAGCCAUACCAGCAAUCACCCACACAACAACAACCAUCACCACGUCCGCCCUCAGCCGGUUCAAACAAUAAUGAAGAUGACGAUGAUGUGGUCAUGGGUCAGGCGAUAACACCACGUAAAACGCCGAAUCUGAACGAAGAUCCAAUGGGUCCAGCGCUGUCGGAAGAUAGAGUGGACACGCUCAAAGAUACCUACGGCAUGGGCGAGACACUUGCACCCAUAGCCGAGGUGAAUGCGAAUGGUGUGAAAAAAUUGUCGAGCAUACAGGAAAUGCUCAGCGGUGGCGCGGAGAACGAAAAGCAACAAAGAGACGGUGUACACAAGGGCGACAAUGACAGCGGUGUUGAUGAGUCUACUCAAGAGAAGGAACGCAACGGCCCAGGUUCGCCCAGCUCUCCGGCUAAGACACCGACGUCUACCACUUCAAAGGGCGAGAAGACAGGCGCUUCACGUCCGCCGAGCGCAACACCAUCGAACAAAUCGUCCAAAUCACGUUCGACAUCACGAAAUCGCUUGUCAUUGAAGACUCCCGAACCGGAGCCAGUUAAAAAAGUACCAAUGAAUAAAAUACAAGUCGGUCACGCUCCUUCACCCAAUCUCAAAGCCGUGCGUUCCAAAAUUGGCUCGCUGGAUAAUGCUGGCUACAAACCAGGCGGUGGGAAUGUCAAAAUCGAGAGCAAGAAGAUCGAAAUAAAAGCCGCGCCCAGAAUUGAGGCGAAAAAUGACAAGUACACGCCACGUGGCGGUGAAAAGAAGAUCAUUUCGACAAAGCUACAGUGGAACGCCAAGUCGAAAAUUGGCUCCUUGGAGAAUGCCAAUCAUAAGCCGGGUGGUGGCGAUAAGAAGAUCGAAACAAUUAAAACGGACUUCAAAGACAAAGCCAAACCGAAAGUCGGUUCGAAGGAUAAUGUUAAGCACGCUCCGGGCGGUGGUGAUAUUAAGAAAUCGCAAAUCUUGAAGGAAAGCACAACCGCCAAGGAUAUACAAACUCAAAAGAUAGAACUUAAGGCACAAAGCAAAGUGGGCUCUUUGGAUAACAUUAAGCACAAGCCCGGUGGUGGGGAGCGAAAAAUUUUCGAUGAUAAGGACUAUCUGAAAAAUGUUGAGCAUACAGUUGCACUGACACCACCGACACAGUUCCCGCAGGGACGCCUUAUAGCCACCAUCCACCUAGAAUUUGGCCUUUGCAAUUCAGACUGUGAAUAUUUAUAUACCUUUUACUGAAUAUGCAUAUGAAAUAUUGAACUGAUAGUCCCUAACUGUCAUGCGAAACUACCAAAAUAAAAGUAUAUCUGCUAAAAUAUAAAUAUAUAUUCACACAACCAACAACAACCAACGUCUAACAGUCCACAACCAUCCAUGACGACUUCAACAACUGGUGCCGAUGAAAAUUUAAAUCAGCAGAGUUAAACAAAUUAAGCACGAAAGAAAAGCAAAAAAACAAAAACAAAACAAAAAAUUAUCAGCAAUUUAAAACAAAUAAACAUUAAAUACAAACAUAUUUACAAAGUAAUAAAAAUUAAGAACAAGAAAUACAUAAAACAAAAACAAAAAACAAAACAUACUUCAUUAAAGCAUUAUUAUUAGCAUUAAUUGCAUACGAUUGCAUACAUAAUUAUUAAAACAGAAAAAUUACAAAAAAAAAAAUAUUUAAAACAUUUUGCAGUAAAAAUUCAAAAUUACUUGUAUACAUACAUUUGAGCAACACUGUAAUUGUUGAGAUUGUAUUAUCACCAAACACAAAAUAUGUAAAAUUACCGUAUUGUAUUUGGAGAAACAGUUAUUACUCGUAAAAAAUCGGUGUGCAUUUGAAAUGUAGCAAACAAUUUGCAAAUAAUAAAACAUUUUUCACAAA